UGCAGUCGACGAUGAUCCGGUGCUUGCACCGGGGAUUAGUGGCGAACGGGUGAGUAACACGUGAGUAACCUGCCCUUAACUCUGGGAUAAGCCUGGGAAACUGGGUCUAAUACCGGAUAUGACUGAUCAUCGCAUGGUGGUUGGUGGAAAGCUUUAUUGUGGUUUUGGAUGGACUCGCGGCCUAUCAGCUUGUUGGUGAGGUAAUGGCUUACCAAGGCGACAACGGGUAGCCGGCCUGAGAGGGUGACCGGCCACACUGGGACUGAAACACGGCCCAAACUCCUACGGGAGGCAGCAGUGGGGAAUAUUGCACAAUGGGCGCAAGCCUGAUGCAGCGACGCCGCGUGAGGGAUGACGGCCUUCGGGUUGUAAACCUCUUUCAGUAGGGAAAAAGCGAAAGUGACGGUACCUGCAAAAAAAGCGCCGGCUAACUACGUGCCAGCAGCCGCGGUAAUACGUAGGGCGCAAGCGUUAUCCGGAAUUAUUGGGCGUAAAGAGCUCGUAGGCGGUUUGUCGCGUCUGCCGUGAAAGUCCGGGGCUCAACUCCGGAUCUGC
rnacentral:rRNA from 1 species